GAAGCCCCAUUUUGCUCACUCCUUGCUGCAGUGCAGUGAUGAAGCUUUCAGGCUGUUUUGUUAUUCUCCUAAUGAACGGCAAUCCUGAUCCUUCACCAGAGGAUCUGCUGCUAUUCUGCAGGCUAAAAGUGCUCCGGACCGCCUCACCAUGGGCACAGUGUCUGCACCGUAAAGCGACCCCAGUCUCUCCCUUCCCGUGGCUCAUCAGAAAAAAAAAAAAAAUUAGUUUUCAAAAGGAGCGGUAACCUUUCUUCCUAGUAUCCUUCUCAGACAGAGGCAAGUAAGAAUGAGGAGGCGUGUGAGUUCUACAUGUCGGUGUCCCUGGACCUACAUCUCAGCCAACCCCUGUCCUGAGGGACCUGGGCAUGGAUCCCAAGCUUGUCAGAGAAUCACACCAGGCUCUCUCCUAUCUGACAUCCUGGUUCUUCUAGACACCAUCUUGCACUGGUAGGGCAUGGCUGGAUGUCAUGGAGCAGGCCUUCAAAGAAACUGGGAUGACUGAAGGAUGGAAAAAAUUACAAAUUCAUCAUGAAGGUGGGAGAUUACUGCAAAUAACAGUCCAAGAAGGGUCUGAGAAGGAUUUAAAAGUGGCAGAUGCAAAGGAUAAAGGAUAUUGCUAAAGAAAUCAGUCACAUUCUACACUUGGAGUGUCCAGGGUGACUCUUGUGUGUCUGGCUUAGGUGACAGAAGGACAGAAGCCUUAUCAGCAAGGCUUAGUAACACAAGUAAUGGGGAAGAUUUUGGCAUGGAGCCUGAUGAAUGUAAACCAACCUUAAAGAGGUGUUGGGGGACAAAGACACAAGAAUGAAGAUUCUGGAGAGGUCUAGGAUGGGGAAAGAUAUCUCAGAGUUCCUGCAGUGUACAGAUGAAGGUCCCCUGCAGGAUAAGUUAAAAGGGAAAAAUAGGGCUGAAUUACGGUAUGAGCUAUAAGGGCUCCAGCAGAGAGAGGCUCUCAGGAAAUGAAUGAACCUGUGGUAUCUGCAAGAUUUCAAGGAGAGGAAUCUUGGGACUUGGGAAACAGCCAGUGGAGGGUGAAAGCCAGAUAGAGACGCUCCAAGAGCAAGUCUAAGGCUCUUCAGAGGUUAAUACGGCUUAUCCAAGUAGUUUAGGGAUAUGGGGAGUUGUGAAGGUAAUUGAAGAGACUUACUCAAAAGUAACUUUUAAAUAUGUACAAUGACUUGCUUGGUAUGCAGAGAGAAACUCAUCCCUAGUGUAAAUCUAAUGAAAU